UCAGGUCGAAUUCGUAGGUUUUCAGGAUGAUGUGAAAGUUACCCAGAGACACAUCAUAAUGUGUGUGGGUCUCACACAGUCACCUGAAAGCCUGAAUAGAAAAAAGACUGACCUUUCCCGAGCAAGACGGAAUUCUAUCCUUCUGCUAGUAGACAGCUUCUAGACUUGAAUUGCAACAUGGACUUCAAAGAUUUUGGACUUGUCAGCCUCCAUAAUUGUGUGAGCCAAUUCCAUGAAGAUCUAUCUCUUUACACAUAUACAUAUCCUAUUUGUUCUGUGUCUUUGAAAAACCCUAAUACAAAAGUAAACAGAAAUCUCAGAAUUUCAGAAAUUUCAAUGCCUAAUGAAGGCUACAGUUUUUCUCCUCUGCUCUACUCUAGCAAGGAUCAACGUGUAUGAAAGAAAUGAGAGGGGCACUAUUGAGCAAAAGGCCUAAAAAUCCUCAGUCUGCUUGGUGAUGACCUCUGGAGUGAAUAUUGCCUAUCAGAAUUGUCCUGAAUCAGGAUGAUAUGGCCUAGACCGUAUACUUCACCUUGCACAGUAACAGGAUACAAGCUUCCCUGGAAAGGGUGUGGCCUCAGGCCUUGCAAUUCCCUGCAGCUGAGAUAUGCUCAAGAGUCUCUGACUGUCUGAAAAGUGCAUUUUCUGCAUCUGGGCAGCAAGUCUUAUGGCUACAUACCAUGUACCCAAGGUCACAUAAAUUUGUUCUAGUAAAGCCUACACAUCUGGCACAGUAGGUAUGAUUGGAGGUACAAUUUGUUUGACACUUUGGUGGUCUACAGUCAUCCUUCAGGACCCAUCUGAUUUUUGCAGGAGCCAGACUGGAUCCGUUCUUUCCACUGCUUUCCCAGUAUCUGGACAUACUGCCUGCCAACCUCAUUUACUUAAUCAUAAUUUGUGUUACUUAUCUUUCCUUUGAAUAAAGCUGUUCAAACCGCUCAUC